rnacentral:RNase_P_RNA from 1 species
UAAGCAGAUCGAGCGAUUACUCUGGAACUAUGCCGCAAGGCUGAGGGCCAGAGAGGAAAGUCCGAACACUCGCGUUGAAGGUAUCAUAUGAGCUUUUAACAACUAGUAGCGGGUAACACCCGUCUAAGGUAACUUACGAGAUGCGAACAGUGACGCCGGCGCAGAAAUGCAAAGGAAUCCUACAAGCUUGCUUGAGGAUUAAUCACUGCAGAGAUGCAGAGGAUGAAACGGCUAAAUUCUUACUUGAGUGCAAGCCCAAAUUUGGUAGGGCGCACGAGCAGUUUGGUAACAAGCUGCCAAGAUUGAUUAUCGCUUAAAAACAAAAUUCGGCUUACGAGUCUGCUUGAAGC